GACGAACGCUGGCGGCGUGCUUAACACAUGCAAGUCGAACGGAAAGGCCCUGCUUUUGUGGGGUGCUCGAGUGGCGAACGGGUGAGUAACACGUGAGUAACCUGCCCUUGACUUUGGGAUAACUUCAGGAAACUGGGGCUAAUACCGGAUAGGAGCUCCUGCUGCAUGGUGGGGGUUGGAAAGUUUCGGCGGUUGGGGAUGGACUCGCGGCUUAUCAGCUUGUUGGUGGGGUAGUGGCUUACCAAGGCUUUGACGGGUAGCCGGCCUGAGAGGGUGACCGGCCACAGUGGGACUGAGAAGCGGCCAGGACUGCUACGGGCGGCAGCAGUGGGGGAUAGUGCACGAUGGGCGGAAGCCUGAAGCAGCAACGCCGCGUGCGGGAUGACGGCCUUCGGGUUGUAAACCGCCUUCGCCUGUGACGAAGCGUGAGUGACGGUAAUGGGUAAAGAAGCACCGGCUAACUACGUG
rnacentral:rRNA from 1 species